rnacentral:misc_RNA from 1 species
GUAUAAGGUUUAUAGGCACUGGUGCCCAAUUAUACAUUCUGUUACAUACUAUGGGUAUAUGAAAAAACGUAGGCUUGGAAAUGCAAAGAAAGCUGAGUGCAGCAUUCUUCCCGACCGAGUUGCCUCGGAAAGUCUAUCCAAAUCUACAAGAUGUGCACAGGUGGAGAGAUGAGAAUGGCGGGUGUGCACAUGCCCCCUGGAGAGGGCCAGCAACAACCACACCAAGUUCAUUCAAUAAUGAUCCUUCCGCAGGUUCACCUACGGAAA